GUUUUAACAAACCCUCAACUCCCUGAAAAUACACAUACUUGUUAACCACAUUUUGUCCCGCCACUCCUACAUGAAAGGGAGCAUGAAGGGAAUAUCAAACAUUAAAGUUUGAUCUCUAUUCCUAGUCAGUGGCCAUGAAAUGAGUUGACUCGGGAAUGCCCACAAGACAAAUGAUUAUGGUUUACAUAAAUAGCAAGUCAAAUUUUGCUACAAGCUCUAUGCCUAUGACCCGAGUGAGCUGCAACCACACAAGUUGACAUCAUAUGUCCACUCAGUAUCUUGUGUCUUGUAAUCAAGGAAUCAGUACAUUCUGACUAGUGUCUUUAGAUCAUCUAAACCACUAAUCCCCACUCACUUGAUAAACUUCUUUUCUCUUUAUCUCACGUGCUGUGUGCGUUGGCAUCUAGACAGGCAUAUGGUAAGGCAAUGGCUGAUAGAAACGCAUGAAAAAUCUUCAAUCUAAAAAGUAAAUACAAUAUUUGAAACAAGAAAAAAGGCCUUAACAUUAAAAGGAGGGACAAAUAGUUCCUAGGUGAUACAAGUUUGAACUUUUGUCCUUUAAAAUCAAUCCUGUAUGACAGUAACAACAUUAUCCUCAGAACUCUUUGGUAGACUGACAUAAACUAACAAAUUGUGUACCUCACAUAUCAUGCCUUGUCAACCACUUCAUAUCCAAAUUUGAACCUAACAUCUUGGCCUUUCUGAAAAUUACAUAUUCUCCAUGAAAAUUCUGCAGCUUCUUUUGACUUCCUCUGUCAAAAACACACCAGAAGACAUUAAUUGCAUAAGGAAGCUAGAAAAAACAGAUUAUAUUAUAAAAUUUUAUUCCCGUUGUACAGCAUUUUAAAUUCAUUAAGCAUACGAAAGACAAAAACUGUAGACAACUGACUCAAUGGCUCCAGUAAGGCUAAAAUGAUAGGAGCAACAAUGAACAACCCUUUUCUACCAAUUACCUUUCCAAUAAGUUUCUCCAGGAACCAAAUAAAACAUGAACCAAAUAAAACACCAACUUCUUUAAAUUCUUUAUCAAUAUUGCACCAUCCCUUAAUAUUCAGCUUAACAAAUUAUCACUGGUCACAGGAAAGGCUUUUUUUGCACGAAUUCUGUAUGUGUGUAACAACCCCCGAUCCAGCAUCAUGACAGCUAAACUGGGAGCGUUUCCUGUAAUUUUCAUAACCUGUUAUAAGAUCUAUAUCUUAAUUUCAUCCAAUCAGUCCACAGUCAUCCCAUAAAAAUUGUUGCAAAAGUGAAUUAAGCAAAAUACAAAUGUUACAUAACAUUUCAUUUCAUUAGAUACAACUUUACAUCUUUAAAUACUUAUACAACUAAUACAAAAAAAUCAUUUACAAGUAGAGAGAGAGCCAACCCUAAUUACACUCUCGACAAAAUACUGCUCCUCUGAUGUAGACUUUAAUGAUCUACUCUUUGUGAAUCCUCCGCUUCAAUAGCUCAACCUAGUUCCAGCAAUAUACUCCCAAUUGCAACCACUUUUCACCAAAAAUCCGAGCCAAAUCAGUUCUUGAUCUUGGGCAGCCACACCAGCUAUUCUGUCUCACCAAUCAGCUCACAAUUCCUUAAUUUCUUCUUUCUCUUUCACUUUGAUUUCAUGCUUUGAUCAUUAAAUCCUUAGUUGAACAGUUGGGGAUAUUGUUGUUUCAUCACUUCCUCGUUUUCCCAAGUAGCUUCUUCAAUUGCAUGAUUCCUCCAUAGCACUUUAAUCAGUGGAACUUGCUUGUUCCUCAAUUCUUUCACUUUACGAGUCAAAAUUGCCACCGGUUCCUCUUCAUAGGUCAAAUCUGGUUGCACUUCAAUUGUCUCCAUAGGGAUGACAUGGGUUGGGUCUGAUCUAUAUCUUCUUAACAUCGAUACAUGAAAGACAUUGUGUAUCUUUGAUAGUUCUAAUGGUAAAGCUAGUCUAUAGGCUACCGGACUCACACGCUCAAUUAUUUCAUAUGGACCGAUAAACCUAGGACUCAACUUGCCUUUCUUGCCAAAUCUUAAAAUCUUCUUCCAUGGUGAGACCUUUAAGAAGACUUUAUCACCUACUUCAUAUUUUAUAUCCCUUCUCUUUAAAUCAGCAUAAGAUUUCUGUCUGUCCAUUGCUGCUUUCAGUUUAUCCUUUAUCAGCUUCACUUUAUCCUCUGUCUGUUUCACCAGUUCUGAUCCCACUAACUUCUUUUCACCCAAUUCUGUCCAGCAUAAAGGAGUUCUGCACUUUCUACCAUAUAAGACUUCAUAAGGUGCCAUAUGAAUGCUAGACUGAUAGCUAUUGUUGUAAGCAAAUUCUAUUAGUGGGAGGUGUUUAUCCCAACUUUUCUCAAAUUUAAUAAUACAGCUUCUCAACAUAUCCUCUAGCACCUGUAUAACUCUUUCGGAUUGUCCAUCUGUCUGAGGGUGGAAGGCUGUACUGAAGUGGAGUCGAGUACCCAAGGCUUUAUGCAAACUUUCCCAAAAUCUUGAUGCGAACUGUGGGUUUCCAUCUGAUAUGAUAGAUACUGAUACUCCAUGCAAUCUGACUAUCUCACUGAUGUAUAAUUCAACAAGCCGAUCUAGUGAAUAGUCUUGUCUAACUGGAAGAAAAUGGGCUGACUUGGUUAAUCUAUCCACAAUGACCCAUAUUGAAUCAUGCUUUCUAUGAGAAGGAGGAAGGCCCGUAACAAAAUCCAUAGUAAUCCGCUCCCAUUUCCACUCCGGUAUAGAGAUUGGUUGUAGUAAACCAGAUGGCACUUGAUGUUCAGCCUUCACUUGCUGACAUGUUAAGCAUUUGGACACAUAUUCUACUAUGUCUUUCUUCAUACCAGGCCACCAGUAAUAUAACUUCAGAUCCUGGUACAUCUUGUUACUGCCUGGAUGCAUAGCAUAAGCAGCAGUAUGUGCUUCCCUAAGGAUAGUCUGCUUUAAAUCACUUACAUUGGGCACAUAGAGUCUGUCUUUGUAAUACAAAUGACCAUCUCCUUCUACCACAUAUUCACCUUCCUUCUCAUCUGACAAUUUACUGACUACUGCCAUUAACUUCUCAUCCGUUUUCUGCGCAUCUUGCACCUGUUGAAUCAGACUGGAUUUAAUCCUCAAUUCAACCACAAUCACACCAUCAGUUGUCAAUCUCAGAUGAGCAUUAAUUGCCUUUAAGACUGCCAAUAACUUCCAACUGAGGGUAUCAGCUACUAUAUUGGCUUUUCCUGGAUGGUAAUCUACGAUGCAAUCAUAGUCUUUAAGCAAUUCCAUCCAUCUCCUCUGCCUCAAGUUUAGUUCUUUUUGAGAAGGCAGGUAUUUCAGACUUUUGUGAUCUGUAUAAAUAUAGCAUUUUUCUCCAUAUAAGUAAUACCUCCAUAUUUUCAAAGCGAAGACAAUGGCUGCUAGCUCCAGAUCAUGAGUAAGAUAGUUUCUUUCAUGUGACUUCAGUUGUCUGGAAGCAUAAACUAUCACUUUUCCUUCUUGCAUCAACACACAUGCAAGUCCAUUCAAUGAGGCAUCACUAUAGAUCACAAAAUCCUUUCCCGAUGUAGGCUGCGUCAACACAGGAGCUUCUGUAAGCAUAGCCUUUAACUCAUCAAAGCUAGCCUGACACUUAUCUGUCCAUUCAAACUUAACACCUUUAUGUAGCAAUUUGGUCAUAGGAUAAGCUAUCAUGGAAAACCCCUUCACAAAUCUUCUAUAGUAUCCAGCCAAUCCCAAAAAACUUCUAAUCUCUGUCACAUUCUUAGGUGGCUGCCAUUCCAAAAAAGCUUCUAUCUUUUUAGGAUCUACCUUUAUGCCUUCUGAGGAUACAAUGUGGCUUAGGAAGGAAACUUCAUUCAGCCAAAAGUCACACUUGCUCAACUUAGCAUACAGUUGCUUGUCUCUCAGAAUCUGCAACACAAUUCUAAGGUGCUGAGCAUGUUCUUCUCUUGUCUUGGAAUAGACCAGUAUGUCAUCAAUGAAAACAACUACAAACUGAUCCAAAUAGGGUCUGAAAAUUCGGUUCAUCAAGUCCAUAAAGGCAGUUGGGGCAUUGGUUAACCCAAAUGGCAUCACUAAAAAUUCAUAGUAGCCAUAUCGGGUUUUGAAUGCAGUCUUAGGAACAUCAGGUUCCUUAACCUUUAACUGAUAAUACCCGGAUCUCAAAUCAAUUUUGGAGAAGACCCCUGCCCCUUUUAACUGAUCAAACAAAUCUUCAAUCUCGGGUAAAGGAUAUUCAUUCUUGACUGUCACCUUGUUCAGCUGCCUGUAAUCAAUGCACAGCCUAAAGGUGCCAUCUUUCUUUUUGACAAAUAGUACUGGUGCUCCCCAAUGUGACACACUAGGGCGUAUAAACCCUUUAUCAAGUAAGUCUUGUAGCUGCAAUUUCAACUCCUUCAAUUCAGUGGGAGCCAUCCUAUAAGGUGCUAUUGAUAUUGGUGCAGUACCAGGGAGCACAUUAAUUAAGAAUUCUACCUCCCUGUCUGGUGAUAACCCAGGUAAUUCUUCAGAAAAUACAUCCUGAAAUUCAUUGACUAUAGGAAUAUCCUGAAUAUUCAAACCCUCCUUUCUAGUGUCUAUGACAUUUGCCAAAAAUGCCUCACACCCCUUUCUAAUUAGCUUCCUGGCUGUAAUAGCCGAGAUCACAUUUGACCGUAAAUUCUGUCUCUCACCAUUUACAACCACAUCAGAAUUAUCAGAAGCUUUUAACACAACCAUUUUUAAUUUGCAAUCAACCACAGCCUGAUGUUUAACCAACCAAUUCAUACCCAGGAUAACAUCAAAUUCAUGGAAAGGCAGUUCUAUCAAGUCGGCAAGAAAUUCCCUAUCAUGCACCCUAAUUGGACAAUCUCUAAACACCUUGUUUACAAUCACGCUAUGUCCUAUAGGAUUAGUUACCACUAUAUCAUGUGACAAUGAUUCAGCAUGUAAACACUUCUCACUUGGUGCAGUAGUGCAAAUAUAAGAAUAUGUAGAUCCCGGAUCAAUCAAUACAUCCACAUCAACAUCAAAGAGUAAAAAUUUAUCAACUAUCACACCAGGAGUAUCUUGAUCCUCUCUAGCUUUCAUCACAUAUGCUCUAGCUGGGGCUCUAUUUUCCUUGGGUCUGUUAACUAUCUCUGAUACCCCUCUCUGAUCGGUCCCAGCUGGUUCUGCUCUGCCUGGCUUCCUGCCACUCUGAGUACCAAGUGUGAAUGCCUGUGUCUGAAUCUGUGGGGCAUCAAUACCCUUCAACUGAGGACAAUCCUUCUUGAAAUGAUCAGUGGCCCCACAUUUAAAACAGGCCCCCAUCAUUUUUCUGCAGGUGCCUGGGUGGGGACGGCCACAAUGCUCACACGGUGCUAAUGCUUGUCGCCUGAAGGAAGCAGUUGGAGAACUAGAAGUGGAACCCUGUUGUUGUGGGCCACGCAUAAAUGGGGUCCCCGGCCUAGUACUGUGGGCUGCUGUCUGACUUUGAGGUCCCUUCAGCUUCUUAUUACUAGAGGAGAUAUUGCUCGGUUGUCCCCUCUUCUGAUCUCUAUUCUUUCUGCUUUGUUCUUCUACCUUAACUCUUUCAAUGCUUAAGGCAGCUGACACCAAUCUGGAGAAGUCAUCUAUCUGCAUGCUAGUGAGUUGGAGUCUGAGGUAAUCAUUCAAGCCAUCCUCAAACCUCCUACAUCUGAUCUCCUCAGUGGCAACUAUCUCCCUAGCAUAUCUACUAAGUCUGAUAAAUUCUCUCUCAUACUCAAUGACUGAUAAGUGUCUCUGCCUCAACUGAAUAAACUCCCUCCUCUUGCUUUCCAAAUACUGUUGGCUGAUGUACUUCUUUCUGAAUUCAGUUAAGAAUAGAUCCCAGGCAAUGUCCCGUGGAGGUUGUGCCUUCUUUGCCUGAUCAAUUGUUGUCAACCACCACUGGUAUGCCUCUUCUUGUAACAGAGAUACUGCACACUCUAAAUUCUGAUCCGAUGUGCAGUAGAGCUGUUGUAGAACCCUCUCUGUCCUUUUCAACCAGAAUUCAGCAACGGAGGGAUCAUCAUCCUUCUUGCCAUAAAAGUCUACUGCCCCAUACUUUCUGAGUUUCUCUAAAUGACUUCUUUGUGGAGCCUGUGGGAUAGCCCAUGUCAUUUGUUUGAAGAAGUCUGUCAUUUGUUGAAAUAGGGCAUUCUGGCCUUGAUUAGAUGCGCUAGCCGAGGCUUGAGGAGAAACAUUUUCUGAGUUUCUUUGACCUACACUGAUGGGGCUGUUACUUUCUGCAACCUCAUCUGUGGCUCGUUGCGAAGCGGGAUCCAUACCUAAUCCCCUAAUUAGACUCUGGACAAAAUACUGCUCCUCUGAUACAGACUUUACUGAUCUACUCUUUGUGAAUCCUCUGCUUCAGUACCUAAGGAUAGAAGCAUCUUAUCAUUGCACUAAACUAGUUUGGUGCCCCAACUCUUGUAUCUGGAGCUCCAUGAACCUAACGGCAAGUGGGUUUUAGAAUCAAGAGGGAAUUUCUCCUUGGCAUGG
rnacentral:misc_RNA from 1 species